rnacentral:sRNA from 1 species
GGGAGAGCAAUCAUCCAAAAACAUGAAUUCUUUUGAAAAUCAUGAAUCAAAUGAACGAAAUAGUCUUCAAAUUUAUCAACAACAUUCAUCUAUGAUGUCAGAAACAAAGAGAAAACAAAGUAGCUUAAGUUAUGAUGCCAGAAUCCUUUUACCUAAAAGUCCCUAUAACACAAAGAAAACUUUAUUUUUAAUUAUUUUCUUUUCCAUUAUCUCCUUGAUAUUGGCAACUAUAGGUAGUGUGUUCAUUUCUUUUGCUAUAGUUCAAAUUUCUAUACCUUUUUACGUUAUAGGUGGAGUUAUUUGAUUUUUUACUUUUAUUUCUUUAUAGUAACUUUUGUAGCAAUUGUAAGGUUCAUAGCAGAGUACUUCGCUAAUAAGUUAAAUGCACUUACAUGAAAAGUGGAUCUUUCUGGACUAGAGAUUAAACCUAAGGAAGAAGAAUAGUUAUUGAUUAAAUUUGUUAUUAAAAACCAAAAAUUUAGU